rnacentral:lncRNA from 1 species
AAGAUUAUGCUGGUGAAAAUGAUGUUGAUAAAGAGAAAGAAGAUGAAGGAGAAGAGUAUGCAACAGUUGACUCAGAUAGUCAGGAAGAUAUCUUAUUUCAGUCUUGUUUUGUUUUGUUUUUUUUUUUGGUUUUUGGUCUGUGACCAGAAUAUUUUGCACCCUUAGGUGUCCCCUUGUGUGAGAUCUUGUACUUUAUGAAUAUGGUUUUAUCAGUUUUUGGUUGGAUGCUUACCUUUGUUAGAUUAUGG